UGACAACGGCCUCCUUGAGCUUCCUACAUGGGAUGCCUGCUGCAGAACUGUCCCUUAGUGAGCCGUGGUGAAGAGGAUCUGCAAAACGGGAUAAUCUUUCUUGAGCAGGGAGGUGAAAGAACCCAGCAAUGGCAUGGAUGGAUGUCCUUGGAAGAAUGGAAGGCCCCAGUGUGGUGGGGUGAGGCUUACAUAAAAGCACCCCCAAAUGCCAUUCACUUUCUUCUUCCUUCCUAAAAUAAUUGAAACUGUGGCUAUUGGAUUAAGGAAACUGAAGACAAAUCAUUUGUUCAAUAAAACAGAAGAGAAAAGUAAAUUCAGAAGUGUUAGGUGACUUACCUGAGACUACCCAACUACCAGAUGACAAAUUUCUAUCUGGCCUUUCAACUGACUCCAGAGUGAAGCUUCUUGGAUUAGGAUGCACUGCCCCCUACCAUCCUCUUAUCAUCACUGUGUGAGAAUUAAAACAAGAAGGCAGAGCAUCCACCCUUAUGGAAGCAGCACAUCUGGCCACUCACCUGUUUCCGUUAACUGAGAGAAUGACUGCAAAAGCUCAGUGAGCAUGGACUUGGGGGUUAAGAAUAACAGUGAGUAGGUGAAUUCACACACAUGGAAUCCACAAAUAACGAGAAUCAAGCAUAUGUCCAUCUUGAUUUGACCAAAAAAAAUGGAUGUUUAAUUUUUAAAAAUGUAUAUGACCAUGACUACCACUCAUUUUUAAGUAACUAUUUACUGAUUUAUUAUAUGAGUCAGACUCUAUGCUAAAUUUUACAGAUAUGGGAUGAAGGAAUGGCUUUUCCUCUCAGGAGCUCUUGAUUGAGUAGAGAGAAAGUCAUACAAGAAGUAACCAUGCAAUGUCAUAAGUACAUGCUUCAGUUAGGGUAAUAUUAGCUAUAAAAGACUUAAAACUCAACUCAAAUUAAUUUUAACCAUACUGGAAUGUAUUGCUUUAUAUCAUUAAACAUAUCUUGAAAAAGUUUACUUUGAAAGCAUGGUUUGAUCAUAUUUUUGUUUAUAUUUCUUGUGAUUUGUGUACCUCUCCCUUCUGUUGUAUCUUCACUCAAUCCUAAGGAUAGCUUGCUUUUUGGUAGCAAAAUUUCUAGGGCAGCUGAAGUCUCACAUCUACACUCCAAACUAUUGAAAGUUUGGCGUGUAAACAUGAGACUUCAGAUGCCCUAGAAAUUUUUUUUCUCCCAUGCCUUGAAUUAAAAAUGUCUUGAGCUGCAAUUUGCCUGUUCUUUUCUACACUGUCCUGUGCGCGCUGAAAAAUAUGGCCUCCUUGCUUCCUCACCUUCAAGCCCUACAUUCAGAAAAACACCAAAUUUAACCUGAUUAUCACUACGCCUCAUACUGUGACCUGAAAUGUCUCUUCAAGCAUUAAGAUGUUACCAUCACAGCAAUUACAGUCACCAGAGUAUUUAGAUGGUUCUGAAUGCAUUAUGCAAAUUAGGGCCCAUCCUGGGAGAUAAGGGUGGUGUUAUUCACAGCCAACACAUUAGUGAAACGCAUUGCAUAAAGUUAGAGUGAUGCCAGCCACAUGCAAUCACAAAGUCCUUCUAUUAUUAUAUUAUACAAAUAGGUAUAAACUAAUAAAAUAGAGGAGUACAAAUAAUUCUGUUUUGAAAACUUUACAUUGGUUAUUUUUUAAAUGUUGUAGCAACAAGGAUGUUACAU
rnacentral:lncRNA from 1 species